rnacentral:rRNA from 1 species
GUCUAUGGCCAUGCUACCCUGAACAGGCCCGAUUCCAUCUCAUCCUGGAAGCUAAGCAGGGUCGGGCCUGGUUAGUACUCGGAUGGGAGACCACCUAGAAAGACCAGGUGCUGUAGGCA